AUCUUGGAAAAAAAAAUGUCUUCUCAUAAUAUUUAUAAAAUUAGAGAGUGGAUGUAUAAUCGAUUAGAUGAUGAGACCGGAGCUAUGAGGCAGGAGUACAAGGAAGGUUUAAUGGAAUUCAUGCAGUUUGCAUCUAAUCAAGAAAUGACGCGUAUCGAAGGUAUUAUGGCAUGUCCUUGUGUCAAAUGUUGUAAUGAUCAUUUUCUUGCAAAAGACAUUGUUUGGAAUCAUUUAUAUUGGGGAGGUUUUACACCGGGAUAUUAUAUAUGGUUUUCUCACGGGGAGGAUUUUAGAUCGGGUCCUAGUAGUAGUCGUGAAAGAAGAGAUGAAAACGUUAUAAUUAGCGAUGAGCAUAUUCACCAGGAAGAAGAUAAUGUAAUUGGAAGUGGUAGUGGUGAAUUUCAUGAUAACGUAGAAAAUACUAAUGUUGCGGAGGAACCCAACUUAGAAACACAGGGAUUUUUCGAUAUGUUAGAUGCUGCAAAUCAUCCGAUAUAUGCAGGAUGCAGAGAGGGUCAUUCUCCUUUAUCCGCCGCAACACGUAUGAUGAACAUCAAAACAGACUACAAUUUAAGUGAAGAUUGUGUUGAUGCGUGGGCUGAUUUUAUCCACGAUUAUCUACCGGAAGAUAAUUUAUCGCCAGUUUCAUACAACGCAAUCCAAAAAUUGGUAUCUGGGCUAGGUUUACCAUUCCAAAUGAUUGACGUGUGUAGAGAAAAUUGUAUGAUUUUUUGGGGAGAUAAUGUAAAUAUGUCUCAAUGUCGUUUCUGUGGUGCUGAAAGGUUUCAGGUUACUGGUGGGCGAAACAAAAUACCAUAUAAGCGUAUGUGGUAUUUGCCCUUGGCUGAUAGGUUGAAGAGGUUGUAUCAGUCAGAUCGGACAGCGGAGGGUAUGCGAUGGCACGCUGAACAUGAGUUCACCGGGGAGAUUUCACAUCCAUCGGAUGCAUCGGCCUGGAAACAUUUUUGUUCUACAUAUCCAGUCUUUGCUAAUGAACCAAGGAAUGUCUAUCUUGGUUUAUGCACGGAUGGAUUCAAUCCAUUUGGAAAGUCAGGUAGAAAAUAUUCUUUGUGGCCAGUAAUAGUCACCCCUUACAAUCUCCCACCUUCCCUUUGCAUGAAAAGAGAAUUUCUUUUCUUAACCAUUUUGAUUCCUGGUCCAAACCACCCUCGUCGUUCACUUGAUGUGUUCCUACAGCCGCUUAUAGAAGAGUUAAAAAUGUUAUGGUACCAAGGGGUUUGGGUAUAUGAUGUCUCCACAAAGACAAAUUUUAACAUGCGUGCUGUAUUGAUGUGGACUAUUAGUGACUUUCCCGCAUAUGGCAUGUUAUCGGGUUGGACAACUCAUGGAAGACUGUCAUGUCCAUAUUGUCAAGAUAAUACAGAUGCCUUCCAACUAAGACAUGGCCGGAAAUCAAGUUGGUUUGAUUGUCAUCGUCGUUUUCUAAGACGAAAUCAUCCAUAUCGUCGUAGUAAGACGUUGUUCCGCAAGAACAAGAGUAUCCGUGAUCCACCGCCACCUGAGUAUGAUGGUGAUUAUAUAUUGAAUCAAUUUCGUGAUUUUGAUGUUGACUGUACAGCAUCGGUAGGGGGUAAUGGCCAUGUCCGAAUUGAUGGAUAUGGAGAACAUCAUAAUUGGCAUAAAAAAAGUAUCUUCUGGGAGUUACCGUACUGGACAAAUCAUCUACUCCGCCACUGUCUUGACGUUAUGCAUAUUGAGAAGAAUUUCUUUGACAAUAUAAUUAACACCAUUUUAAAUGUCGCGGGUAAGACUAAAGAUAAUGUCAAAUCCAGAAUGGAUUUACCCGAUAUAUGUGCGCGCGAGGAUCUCCAUUUGCUUGCAGACGGAGUAGGUCCUAUUCCUAUAUGGAGAUUAGAUGCAAGCAAGAAGACCAAGUUUUUUCAGUGGAUAAUUGAUGAUGUUAAAUUUCCUGAUGGCUAUGCAUCAAAUCUAUCAUAUUGUGUUGAUGAUCACAGUGGUAGAUUAGCUGGGAUGAAAAGUCAUGACUGUCACGUCUUCAUGCAGCGUUUACUACCAUUUGCGUUUACACAACUCCUACCAAAUGUUGUCCAUGAAGCAAUUGCAGGUACAAACAACUUAUCUUUCAAUUAUUUUAAUAUGUUAUUAUUCAUGUAUAUAUUCUUUUUUUGUUUACAGUUAUUAAUUAAAUUGCAGGUAUAGGUGCAUUUUUUAGAGAUUUGUGUUCAAGAUCUCUAACAGUCGAAGGACUACAUACACUUGAAGAUAAUAUCCCGAUUAUCAUUUUCAAUUUGGAGAAAUUAUUUCCCCCAUCAUUCUUUGAUGUCAUGGAGCACUUGCCUAUCCAUCUACCUCGUGAAGCAGCACUAGGCGGUCCAGUUCAGUACCGGUGGAUGUAUCCUUUUGAGCGUUUUAUGUUCCAUUUGAAGAAAAAAGUUAAAAAUCUUAGCAAAGUUGAGGGAUCAAUAGUAGCUCAAAGCAUAAACGAGGAGACUUCUCAUUUUUCGGCCUACUAUUUUGCUCCAAAUGUCCAAACAAAAGCAAGAAAACCAGGUAGGUACGAUGAUGGGGGUGUGCGGCCUUUUUACCAUACAUCUGUCCCAGAUAUCUUUUCUCAAAUCGGGAGACUGAGUGGGAAGAAAAGAGAAGUAUGGUUUAUAGAUCAAGAAUUUAAUCACAUUCAUACUUACAUCCUCCGGAACUGUGACGAUGUCAUACCAUUCGAGAAGAUCUUUGAUGAUCAAGUGUCUGGAGCGUAUCCAAACAUGACAGAGGCUCGAAAAGAGGAAAUGAAGCAGA